rnacentral:lncRNA from 1 species
UACAUUUCAUUGGAAAUCAACCAUCCACUCCAACCUCUUUUUACAAUUCCUUUGUGUUUUCUAUGACAUCAAACCUUCUAUGCUAAUCUUAUAGGAUUCAAAUGGACAUGCCACUCAAAUCCUGUGUUUUUCCUAUUCCUACGUUCUGAAAAUCCUGUCAAAGAGGGCCUAAAAUGGUCGUUCGCGUGUAACUAGCUUUGAUGGGGCAUGUUGGGAGGUAUAACAUGGGAGGAUAGAUUAGCGGCUGAUACUGACAGGACAAAUGAGUGAGGAAACAUGGUUGAAGACAUUGGGCUGGAAAACAUGGUCUGUGUUAUUUGUAGGCGUCGUUGCCUAGUUUUGGCUCCAAACUGCUUGCCCCCUUCAUGCAAUAUUGACUCCAUACAUGUGUUUCCGCGCUUUGAUUGAUCUCCCAUGCGAUCCCACCAUCUUGUCGUUAGGAUUCAGGCAUCACGACUCCAUAUUCUAGUCGUGGACUCAUCGGCACUCGAUGACCAACAUCCAUGCCGCCCACAUCUUCCGGUCCGCGGAGCGAACACACCGUCGUCGCCGAGAGGCGGGUGACCGAAGCACGUGCCAAGAAAGGGGCAAGAAGUUAUUGUUGUUAUUUUGAUGCCUAUACAUAGCAGUCUGCAUAUAAAAUUUGAUUAAGGUCAAACUUUAUAAAAUUUGACUAAUUUUAUAUUAAAAAUAUCAACAUUCAACAAUAUGAAACCAAUAUUAGUAGAUGCAUUAUGAAAUUAAUUUUCAUACUUUAUAAUUUUAGUACGUAUUUGUAGAUGUUGAUAUUUUUUAUAUUAAUUUGGUCAAACUUUUGCUUAGUUUGACUUCAAACAAAUCUUAUACGCGAAGUAAAAAAAACUAAGGGAGUAUAUAUCAAAGAGCAUUGCGUCCAAGUUUGACUUCAAGCCCGGAAAUAGUCUUGUACGGAAAGUAAUAAAGCCCAAGAAAAAGAAAAAGAAUUACAUUAAUUAAUUAAAGAGGCUUUAUAUAGGUUGUAAAUCAGAUCUUCUUGCUACACGUGGCUUCAUCUAGCAUUUCCAGGAAAACAAAAAAGAAACAAAACGCCGUACGUAGUGGAUGCUUGUUUUUUUAAUGGUAAUACAUGUUUUAUUCAUAUCAUAAAGAACUAGUCACGUAAAAACCGAUAUGACAAAACUGAAAAGAUAGCAGAACAUCUCUGAGCUUGACACCAACGGCCGUCACCUGACCCCGGCACCACCACAGCAGCCACCGAAGAAAAGAAUGACGAAUCACCGCCUCACCCGAGCUCGACGCGGCUCCAUCGCUAAUAUGCAGCUUUGCGAACCUCCAAGAUGACUCACCAAAAAAUGAAGCCCUUGUCGUUGAAUGAAUCAGACCAGGGCAACACUCUGGACACGCCAUCGAACUCCAGAUCUGGCACCCCACCACGACUAAGACGCCGAAGGAGGAAACCACACCUGUCAUCCACGAACCACGAGCCCAGCUGAUAUUCCGUCUUUCUGAUAUCGUCGAUGCAGACCACAAUCUGCAUCCGCUCCUGGACCACUAGUACAAAACAGGGCUUUCGUCACAGGGCAAUAUUCACAUUAGUCCCGGUUCAGUCACGAACCGGGACUAAUGUGAGCAUUGGUCCCGGUUCGUGCGGCUAAGGCAUUAGUCCCGGUUCACCUGGGCCCUUUAGUCCCGGUUGGUGCCACGAACCGGGACUAAAGGGUGCGAUGCCCAUUAGUACCGGUUGGUGGCACCAACCGGNNNNNNNNNNNNNNNNNNNNNNNNNNNNNNNNNNNNNNNNNNNNNNNNNNNNNNNNNNNNNNNNNNNNNNNNNNNNNNNNNNNNNNNNNNNNNNNNNNNNNNNNNNNNNNNNNNNNNNNNNNNNNNNNNNNNNNNNNNNNNNNNNNNNNNNNNNNNNNNNNNNNNNNNNNNNNNNNNNNNNNNNNNNNNNNNNNNNNNNNNNNNNNNNNNNNNNNNNNNNNNNNNNNNNNNNNNNNNNNNNNNNNNNNNNNNNNNNNNNNNNNNNNNNNNNNNNNNNNNNNNNNNNNCGCCUUUUCGGUUUUAGAAAAAACAAAAGAAAAUGAUGGAAAUGUCAAAAAAAAAGUUUCCCAUGUGAUAUGUGGUCUAGUUGUUGGGAAAAUUAACAAAUAUGAAUUUCGACUUUAUUUGCAAAAUCUCUCUGGAAUUUCUUAAAAUGGGCAUAACUUUUGCAUACGAACUCGGAUGAAAAAGUUUUUUAUAUGAAAAAUCAUCUACUCGAAAAGUUACAUCCGAAUUUAACCGGGGGGACCCCGUUAAACAUUUUCAAAAUCCUCAAAACCUAACAGAAAAAAAGUUACGGGGCUUUUAAGAUCUGGAGAGGCAAAAAAAUGCAAAAAAAAUUCAAACUGUGGUCAAACAAUGGUCAAACUAAUUAUUCUAGAAUAUUAGUGUUACUAAAUAAUUAUUUUAGUUUUUUUAAUUUUGGUCAAAUCUGGUCAAACUGUGGUCAAACAAUGGUCAAACUAAUUAUUCCAGAAAUAUUAGUGUUACUAAAUAAUUAUUGUUUUUUAAACAAUAGUUUCAAACUCAAACAGUGAAAUAUGUCACUUCAUGCUCAAACUAAAUUCCUGAGGGUUAAUAGGAUUGACAUCUUACUAUUGUCAGGAAAACAACAUGUGCAGACUUGGAAACGAGGAAGAAUAGAACCCGGAAGUUAAGCGUGCUCAGGCUGGAGUAGUGAGAGGAUGGGUGACCGUCCGGAAAGUUAGAUGAUUUGGAAUGAUGAGGGAUGAUUAGAGAUUAGAGGAUAAAUUGAGUAGUGAUGAGGGGCGGUGAUUAGAGAUUAGAGGUUAAAAUAAUUCAAAAUUUUGAAAAUAAAAAAAAUUUAAAAAAAUCGCCAAUUUUUUUUUUUUAAAAAAUAUCAUAAAAUUUCCUUUAGUCCCGGUUGGUAACACCAACCGGCCUGUGAGAACCGGGACUAAAGGGGGAGGCAUUAGUAACGACUCUUUAGUCCCGGUUCAAAAACCGGGACUAAAGGCCCUUACCAACCGGGACAAAAGCCCCCUUUUCUACUAGUGGACUACCUCCCAAGCUCCGCGCCGACGCUGGAGCAAACGCCAUCGCAACAACGGAGCGCGAGGACACAGGUCCACCACGAGGAUGCCGCCGCCGCCACGCCAUCCUUGCUUGAAUAGACUGGUUUCCAAAUACAUCCCCAACCAUAGAACCAAUGGCCUCGUCAGGGAAGAAUCCUAAGAAUCUUUAUUCAGCGUCAUCAUCGCCGCCGCCGAAGUAAAGACGUUGAACAACCUAAAAACCUAAACUACGAGGGAGUAAAAUCGGUCCACACGCGUGGAUCCGGCGACCCCCUCACCAUCGACGACCGAGGUCGCCGACGGAGGGGAGCCGCCGGAGAACGGCGUUGGAAGAUCGGCCUCUCCUGGCAGCGGCUAGGGUUGCAGCCGCCAGGGACGAGAGAAAAACGUAUCGCUUUUUUGUAUGCUCACCACGUACUUAAUGAUGGAUCUUUUUUUUUCCCGAAAAAAAAAGAAUAACAUGACCAUCUCACUGAUCGUAUAUAUGUAUUUAUUUUCUGUUGUGUACUACGUACUGUAUUGAUCGAGACGUACUACAUGUUGUCCUGUCCUGCUGGUUCCUGGUCGGGCGUACGUCGCAGGCAGCCUAGCUCCAUCGAUCCCACGCCACCGCUACGGGCUACCCGUGCGUGGUAGUACGUUCUUCGGCUGGGACGACGCGCACGCGUCGAUCGAGUAGGCAUCUUUGACGGCGCCGUGCUCGCCGGGAGGGACGACGUACGGCUGCUUGGCAUGCACCCACGUUGCUCGACACGACGUGCACGAUGCCAAAGAUCUGCUUCCUCAGCGCCGGCGUCCCCGAGCCGGAGCAUGCAUGGCCGCCGUCCACGGCGUGGAUCGAGCACCGUUCGGCCAAACAUGCAAGUGACGAGAGACGAGAGACGAGAGAGCACACCCGUCCGGCCGGGGAGCUCGCCCGUGCCUGGGUGCCGGUCGGGGAGAGAAGACAUGGGAAGGGAACUAGCUUGGAGAAAGAUGAAAGACGUGGGCUUCGGACGGAGACGAAGACGGCGGGGGGUUGAGACUUGAGAGAGAGAGAGAUCGUACGGGCGUUGACAGGGACGGCGGGUAGGGUAUGUGAGGCUCGAGGACGCCACACGGAUCACACCGGAUGAGGCAGCUUCAGGAGCCACGGUGGAGCCACGCCGACCGGAAGCGGGGAUGACAGACGGCAAAGGGCGCGCAGUGUUCCUUGGGCGUGCGAGUAGCUAGGUGGUUAUAGAUGGAAAUCGAGGAGGAGGAGGAAAGCACCGAAAUUGGAGCGUACGUACAAAAAAGAAGAAAUGCAUGGCGACUGCGGCAAAGGGUCGCCGGAGCCAGAAUUGUGGAAGAAUAAUGGCGGACUCCUCGCUUUGUUUGUCUGCGAAGAAAAAACUCAGCUUUUUUGGUCGGCGGACGGCAGGGAUCGCUCCUGGACAUGUCCAUGCUCAGCGGCCACGCCGGUAGGACGUUGGGCGGCCUCUCCCAAAGAGGUCACCUUACCUGCUUCCUCAGCGCGGACCGCGGAGCAGGAGCAUAGCCGCUGUCCACGCCGUCGGCGUGGAGAACCAUGCAUGCAUAGCUCAGGUCAGGAUCGGAGGAGCUAGCAUUCGGCCGAACACUCUUGGUGCGUGCAGCGCAGCGCAGACAGGAGGGCGGCGGUGCUUGGUUGGUUCGAAGAGGGGUCUUCAGAAUAAGCAAUUAGUGGCGUCAACGGCGAACUGAACCAUCGCCGGAGCCGAAAUUAUGUGUUCCAGACAAAAGAAGCAGAAGAAGAAAAAAAGUCAUGUUUUUUGACGUAGGAGGUCGUCGGCGAGGUAGGAAAGAUUCCCGGCCGGCGGCGAACGUGGGCGGGCGGGAGAGGUUGGGCGAGUCGCGAAAUUGGGUGGGUGCUGGAUGGAUGGAGGAAGACGAUAGACGUACGGCGACGAAGAGGGAGAGAAAACGUGUGUGGAUUGGGCCCCACUCCCAGCGGACGCAUAUUCUUUUUUUUUCUCGAGAAUCAGCGGACGCGGGUCGUGCGUGGCACCAGUUGAUUAAUUGGUCUCGUUUUUUUUUAAUAAACAAGGAGGACACGUACGCACAUUAAUUACUCGGAUUGGACAACCGCGCUUGCAUACUCAUACUUCCAACUUUAUUGAAAAAUUAAACUGUCUCAAAGGUUGACCGAGUUUGUGCAAAAAUAUAUCAGUGUUUGUGAAACCAAAUAGGUAUAUGAUGAAAAUAUAUUUUAUCAUGAAUCUAAUGCUACUAAUUUGAUGACAUAAAUGUUGGUGCAUUAUUGUAUAAAUACGGUCAAACAUAAAAAAGUUUAACUUUCCAACAAAGUUGGAAGUACACUCUUCAAAGGACGGAGGGAGUGCACAUGUUUGCUGUUAACCGCGUUUUGGUUGGCAUCGCAGGCACGCGUCAUUGCGAGGGAGGGGGUCCUGCCCAGGGACGACACCGCUCCUGCUCACACGUUUGCUGUUUGCCGUGGCACGCACGUGCUUGCGUCUUGCGUGCGUGCGUGACGACCAUCGGAAGAACCUUCGCCGGUCACGCGGACAGGACGAGAAGAGGCCAUGCCGCGGGUCAAACAGCGCACGGCACACCAGGGAGAUCCACUCCCUUGCUACCCCCUCGCCAAUGGCCUCCUCAUCCUGAAGCACGAACAUGCGACCAUGGAGCACGUGGCUCGCCGCCUCGGAGACAUAUCUGAAGGAGUCGGGCAGCAGCUGCGACCGAUCAAUGAGCAUCUCGAGCGCAUGAGGCUCAUCGUCUAACAGCAUGAACGCUGACACGUUGCGUCCAUUUCCGGCAGCAUCGCUCUGGCGAAAUGCAUCCGCACGUCGGUCGAACCCGAGGAGGUCCUUGUGCUUGACGACAAUCCGGCCGAUGUCCUUGCACCGGCUCCUAUCGGCGCUGGUGCCGAGCACGAGCGCAUUCUGCGCCGUGCAGGUGGCCCGGAUGGCGCCGACCAAGUGGCGGUCCGUCAAGGACCACAUAUCCAGUUGGCCUAGCACCACCCAGAUGCCGUCAACCGUAUCCUGCUGGUGCUGCUCCAAGGUCGCCAAACCCGGCAAGAUGCUGUGAGUCGCGUCCUGCUGGUGUUGCUCCUUGGUCGCCAAACUUGACCUCCGCUCGCUCGACGGCAAGGCUCCCUCCAACCUCCUCAUGAAUGCAUCGACCGAAAUCAGCAGGGACAUCGCCGUCCGGGACAUCACCGCUCCCACAGGACUGUCAGUGCGCUGUGCGUAAACCUCUCGGCGCCGGAAGUAGCACAUCAGUGCAAAGAAUAUUCUGAACACAAAGAGCUUAUCAUCCGGGGCCGCCCACCCUGCUGCCAUGUAGCGAAUGAUCACGUCCGUCGCGUCUUUGGCAAUUGGUAUUAACUGCUCGAUCAACCACUCUUGAGCCAUCUUCGGCAUGCGUAGCGACGACGUCUGCUCGAACAAAGAGAGCACUGCCGCCAGCCUGUGCCUACACUUCUCGUAGAGCGGGUUGCUUCUGCCUUUGCCGGAGGCGGCGGGUAUCAACCGACAGAACUCCAACAAGAGUGGGAGAAAGCACACCUCAAGGCGAGGGAGUAUGCCGCUUAUCUCCGGAUACAGGAGGCAGAUGAUCGCCGAAUUGGCUCUUAAGUGAUGCGGCAUAGAGCCGGUGGAGUAGAGGCGGACCAGAACCCCGAUGACACCGCUGCGCAGGAGGACAUCGAGGUACUCCACGGCCGUCCCUGCUUGUCUCUCGUUGGUGGCUUUGGCGCCGGCGAGGAACUUCUUGACGAGCAGGACGAUGUCCCUGGUGUAAAGCAUCUUGGUGACAUGCUCAAAGUCGGUCCACGGUGAGCAGUUGGGGACACCGAGAUGCCGCGCCAGUGGAUCAAUUUAGACUUCGCCGUCGUGUAUGAACCUCUUGAACAACUCGGCAGUUUCGUUAGAGAUGUCUGCGUCGGUUGUUGCCUCCACGGCAAUCUGAGAUGCAAGGCUCCAUGCGUCGGGAUAUCUGGUUAAGUGCAAAGUGGCGUCGCGCGGGAGGCCGAGCUCGCCGAUUUUCGCCUUAAGGUGGAGGUUCCGACACUCGUGCACGGCGUGGAGGUCGCUUCUCCUCCUGGGUCCCAUGUCCACGAAGCGACCGAGCACCUCCCCUAAAGUGUCCUGUGGACCCGCCACGACCACGGUCAUCUUGCCGUCGAUGCUCUGUACCAUGAGCCGGAUGGCAUCAGAUGAGGAGUUUGAUUCUCGAGAGAUAGCGACGACGUCGGAAUCCAUGACUCGCAAAGUGCUUUUUACCGGAGCCGGUGGUUCCUCAACCAAUAGAAUCCUGCCAACUCAAAAGCUGUCCUGUGUUGUAUCCCUAUAUUUUACUGUUUUCUUCAUUGAAGCCACUCUAUUUAAAUAGCUGAAGCCCACCCACAUGAUUUCAGCCAUGCCACUCGCUUUAAUCAUACGAUUGGGAUAGAGGCAAGUCUCUCAUUUCACACACGUACAUGCAUGCAUUUAAAAGGAUCAACCUUUCAAUUUAAACUGGUUUGAAAUCCUGACAAAAAAUUGAUACACAUAUCAAUUUCUGUUUCGCAUUUUAAACUUCCAGUUUUAUUAACUUUGAUACACAUAUCAAUUUCUGUUUCAGUAAAUUUAACAAUGCUGAUUUGAAUUCUUUCUAUCACAUAUUUCAAUUAUUUCAACAAACUAAUUUCACUCAUUUUAGAAAAUAAUUUCAAUAGUUUCAGCAAAACUUAUUAUUUAAAAAAUGAGUGUACUACAGAAACAACAACAAAAAAAUCAAUCUUUUUAGAUUUCAAUCAUGAUUUCUGUUAUACCAAUUACACAUAUAAGAAAAAAUUGACACAAACAAUUUCAAUUUAUAUUACCAUAACUUGUUCAAUACAAAUCACACUGAUAUAACAAAUUACACAUAUAAGAAAUACCAAUUUUAUAUAUUUCAGACAAGUAAUUUCCUAUAUUGUCACAAAUAAGUGAAACUGAUUAUUCAAAUGGGUGACAUAAACAAUUUCAAUUUCUUAGAAAAAAGGUGAUUUUAGCUACUCCAAAUUCAUUUUUACUCAAAAAGAGUGAAAUCCAUUGUAGCUAAUGUGAUACAAACAAUUUCAAUUUAUAUCUCGACAACUUUUGCAAUACAUAUCACACUGAAAUAACAAAACACACACUUAGAAAAUACCAAUUUCAAAUAUUUCAGACAAGUAAUUUCAUAUAUUUUUAAUUUUAAUAAGCGAAAUAUUUCAUACACAUACCAGUUUCACUAUUUUUUUCACUUCUAAAUGAACAAAGUAUAUUUCAGUUAUUCGGGUAUCUUAUUGCACAAAAGAGUGAAACUCAUUAUUUCAAAGUACUGACAUAAACCAUUUAAAAAAAAAUGAACCCACAAGUUCUCAUUCACAUAAUGAAGAAACAACAGUUUCACAAAGAGAAACAUGCAUUCCAAUUUCUAAAAAAAAAUGCAUUUCAACAAAAAAAUUCCAAUUCCAAUUCUGUUUCACUCACGAAUGUUAGUUUCACAAAUCCGCAUUUCACAUCAGAUAUAGCAGUUUGACAUAUCUACAUAUCUAUUUCGAUUUCAGUACAACAAUAUCACAUAUAUCACACAAUCUGCUAUAGAUCUUCCCAUCGAUUUCAAUUAGACACCUUCAUUUCCAUCAAAUAUAACAGUUCAAUAUAUCACACAAGCAGGGGAGUUGUCCAUCUAGUGAAGAAGCAAGGGGGGAUCUCAAAACAUGUACCAUAAAACAAAAAUCAGGAAGUAAACACAGAGAUAAAGAUAUUAGGGGAGUUGUGCUUACUCGGGGGUGGACGCAUAUGGUCGUGGGCUUCAUGACUCACCAGAUCCGGUGGCGGUCAUUCUUGGAUUCGCCGGAUCCGGUGACGACCCUGCUCGUCGAACCGUCGUGCUAGGUGGCUGCUGUGGAGGAAUAACGCCGGAGUAGGUCUCCCCAACGCCAGCGCCCACGGCAAGGCGGGGUCAGGAGGUUAGGACCGGCGGACUUUGUCGGUCCUAGAGGAGAGGUGGCGGCGAUCUGUGGAUGUUAGAUGGUACUAGGGUUGUUCGGGCAGGGAAGGCAUCACUGGCAAAUAUAUAGUAUGGGUACUGAGUGAGAAGACCACAUGAUUUAUAUCUGAUGGCUCAAAAUAUAACUUGUUUAUGUCCACACAACAAAU